rnacentral:rRNA from 1 species
GACGAACGCUGGCGGCGUGCCUAAUACAUGCAAGUCGAACGCUUCUUUCCUCCUGAGUGCUUGCACUCAAUUGGAAAGAGGAGUGGCGGACGGGUGAGUAACACGUGGGUAACCUACCCAUCAGAGGGGGAUAACACUUGGAAACAGGUGCUAAUACCGCAUAACAGUUUAUGCCGCAUGGCAUAAGAGUGAAAGGCGCUUUCGGGUGUCGUUGAUGGAUGGACCCGCGGUGCAUUAGCUAGUUGGUGAGGUAACGGCUCACCAAGGCCACGAUGCAUAGCCGACCUGAGAGGGUGAUCGGCCACACUGGGACUGAGACACGGCCCAGACUCCUACGGGAGGCAGCAGUAGGGAAUCUUCGGCAAUGGACGAAAGUCUGACCGAGCAACGCCGCGUGAGUGAAGAAGGUUUUCGGAUCGUAAAACUCUGUUGUUAGAGAAGAACAAGGACGUUAGUAACUGAACGUCCCCUGACGGUAUCUAACCAGAAAGCCACGGCUAACUACGUG